rnacentral:rRNA from 1 species
UAUUUGCCAUCAUUGAGUUGGGCACUCUAAAGGAACCGCCUCGGUCAACGGGGAGGAAGGUGGGGAUGACGUCAAGUCCUCAUGGCCUUUAUGCCCAGGGCUACACACGUGCUACAAUGGCCAGUACAAAGGGCUGCAAAUCCGCGAGGGUAAGCAAAUCCCAAAAACCUGGUCUCAGUUCGGAUUGGAGUCUGCAACUCGACUCCAUGAAGUCGGAAUCGCUAGUAAUCGCAGAUCAGCGUGCUGCGGUGAAUACGUUCCCGGGCCUUGUACACACCGCCCGUCACACCACGAAAGUCGAUUAUACCAGAAGUCGCUGGUUUAACCCCCGAUUUACCUCGGGGGAGAUAAGCGCCUAAGGUAUGGUUGGUAAUUGGGGUGAAGUCGUAACAAGGUAACC